AAUGUUUUAAUUCAAUUCAUAAAGAUCCCAGUUCUGUGUUGAAUUUGCAAUUAUAAAUACUUGCAGGAAGUGAAGAAGAAGAAAACAGGGAAAGGGAAAAGAACCAAGCAAACGCCAGUGAGACCAGUGAGCAUUGAGCAGGAAGAGAACCAACAAGAAGGGGCAGGAGUACACUGACGCGCACGACCAAGACCACAGCAUUCCAUUUCUAUUGUAUUAUAAUUAUCACUAAUAAAGAAUUAUUGUUGAA